GGAAGGAUCAUUAACACUCGUUGAAAAACGAUCACACCUACAUCAUUGUUGAACAGUCAUUGUUUUCUUCCGGGCUCUGUGGUUUGUCUGGCGACGUGGUGACACGUCGUUCAGUGCGGCUUUGCUAUCCCAAACGUUGUUUCCUGUUGCUGCUACUGCACAGAUACUGAUGCGGCGACACACGGUCUCGUCAACCGUGUGCUCUGCUGUGUCGCUUCUGUCGCGACGCGGCGCUAAACAGGAUCAGCGGGCAAUGUUGCAGCCCUCGCGCCUGUUGACACCCCCCCCCUUUUUUAACACCCCCCAGUCUGCGUCUUGGCUCGUGUAUGUCGUUUGACGGCGACCUCUGCUGCGAGUAUCCCAAACAAGAUGUGGGCUUCAAAUUUUAGUAAACCCAAAACUGGUGGCUUCGGUCGCCAACAAAAUUUCUGUACAACUUUUGGCAGUGGAUAUCUUGGCUCUUGCAUCGAUGAAGAACGCAGCAAAUUGCGAUAACUAAUGUGAAUCGCAGAAUCCUGUGAAUCAUCAAACUUUUGAACGCACCUUGCGGUUCAUCCUUCGGGAAGGACCAUGCCUGUUUGAGAAUUGGUACUAUCUCUCAACCCUUUAUUGUGGUUGGAUGUUGAGGUUGACGUGCCUCUGGCGCGUCUCCCUUUAAUAGCUCGCUUUCGAGGUUCUUGUCGCAUCCCAAACGCGACGGACGUGUGAUUGUGCGGAUUGUCUAUAUUAAUAAUAUGGACUCUCUGUAUUUUCAAAACACACACCGUUGCGGCUUCAGGAACGUGUAGAUUGCAUGUCUAAACAAUUCAGUUAUUAAUCUCAAAUCAGGCAAGAGUACCCGCUGAACUUAAGCAUAUUAUUAAGCGGAGGAAAAGAAACUAACUAGGAUUCCCUCAGUAGCAGCGAGUGAACAGGGAAAAGCUCAAAGUUAAAUCGGGAAGGGCUUGCUCGACCCGAGUUGUACUUUGUAGAGGUGUUCCUGGGAGGCGCCGGGUAUAAGUUUGCCUCAGAAUGCGGCAUCAAAGAGGGUGAAAAUCCCGUAUUUGACCCGGAAAGUCCUCUCUCCACGGAGCGCCAUCAAAGAGUCAGGCUGUUUGAGAUUGCAGCCCAAAGUGGGUGGUAAGGUUCAUCCAAAGCUAAAUAUCUGCAAGAGACCGAUAGCGAACAAGUACCGUGAGGGAAAGAUGAAAAGAACUUUGAAAAGAGAGUGAUAAUAGUCCUUGAAACUGCCAAAGGGACAAGCGUUAGGAACUGUUGUUGCGCUCGGGAUCUGUUUGUGAAUGCAGCACUGCUGGCGGUGUCGGAGUCGCAAGACCCGCGUCGUUGGAUUUGUUGCGGCACUCAUGGGCGUCGGAUCCCGGGAUGCCGGUCAACCACACUUUCGUUUCUCCACGAAAGCGCAGGCUGUUUGCCUGUGCCGGAAGGGAGUGGGCUUGAGUGCGACCCGACCCUUGCUAGGGCUGGGCUGGUUGCGGCGUCGAACUUGGCUCGGCAUGUUGACACGGCUGGUUGGACUGCUCGUCAGGACUUCUGGUUGCACAAUGUCGAUUUGCUGGACCGGGCUCGGCCGCCCAGAGGUUGACUACCAAAUGGUUUCUAACGUCCCGUCUUGAAACACGGACCAAGGAGUCUAGCAUAUAUGCGAGUAUUCGGGUGGAAAACCCAUGAAUGCGCAAUGAAAGUGAAUGCAGGUAGGAAUCCUCGGUUCGCCGGGGAGGCACUAUCGACCGAUCUGGAUGUUUUUUGAAGGAUUCGAGUUAGAGCAUAUCUGCUAGGACCCGAAAGACGGUGAACUAUGCCUGUAUAGGGUAAAGCCAGAGGAAACUCUGGUGGAAGCUCGUAGCGAUACUGACGUGCAAAUCGUUCGUCAAAUAUGGGUAUAGGGGCGAAAGACUAAUCGAACCGUCUAGUAGCUGGUUCCCUC
rnacentral:misc_RNA from 1 species